rnacentral:misc_RNA from 1 species
AAAUAAAAAUCGGUGUUGUUGCUACCCGUAGUGGUGUUAAUGCAUCGGAAUUGAGUUGUCUUUACCUUUUUUGGUUAAAGUGACUUAAAAUUAUGUACGAUUUUUUGAACGUAUUUAAAUUAUUUACGUAUGUUCAUAAUAUCAAAUAUUAGGUGCGGUCAUCCUUAUGAUUCACAUCUAUAAUUUUUCAUU